rnacentral:rRNA from 1 species
GGGUCAGUAGGUUGGUCGUGCCACCGGUACGUACUGGUCUCACUGAUUCCUCCUUCCUGAAGAACCGUAAUGCCAUUAAUUUGGUGUUGCGGGGAAACAGGACUGUUACUUUGAAAAGAUUAGAGUGUUUAAAGCAAGCUAACGCUUGAAUACAUUAGCACGGAAUAAUGAAAUAGGACGAUCGAUCCUAUUUUGUUGGUUUCUAGGAUUGACGUA